rnacentral:rRNA from 1 species
CAGUCGCCGCGGGAAUACAGAGGGUGCGAGCGUUAAUCGGAUUUACUGGGCGUAAAGCGUGCGUAGGCGGCUUCUUAAGUCGGAUGUGAAAUCCCUGAGCUUAACUUAGGAAUCGCAUUCGAUACUGGGAAGCUAGAGUAUGGGAGAGGAUGGUAGAAUUCCAGGUGUAGCGGUGAAAUGCGUAGAGAUCUGGAGGAAUACCGAUGGCGAAGGCAGCCAUCUGGCCUAAUACUGACGCUGAGGUACGAAAGCAUGGGGAGCAAACAGGAUUAGAUACCCCCGUAGUCCCUGUCUCUUAUAC